rnacentral:misc_RNA from 1 species
CGAACUUUUACAAGAUCAGUUGGAUUAGCCAGAGCAAUUGCGAUUGCACCAGUAACAAGAGCAGCAAACACUUUAGUGAAUAAGGAACCAUCUUCAACAUAAUAGCUACGUGCAAGGAAGGCCUUGACAGGCUCAUACAACCCAAUCCUUAGGCCUCCAUAUAUACAUUGUCGAUGUAAGCCGGGUAUAAUGCCUUUCCAAAGAGCUAAUAAACCUUCUUCCCUAGCAAUUGUAGCAACUGUACCUAAUAAUCCCUUGUACUUGCCGGAACCUUCCGCUGCUCUCUUUUGUAACUGUAGUCUAACUUUAGCGGUGUCUAG